rnacentral:rRNA from 1 species
UACGUAGGGGGCAAGCGUUGUCCGGAAUCAUUGGGCGUAAAGAGCGCGUAGGCGGCGCGGUAAGUCGGGUGUGAAAUCUCGGAGCUUAACUCCGAAACUGCAUUCGAUACUGCCGUGCUUGAGGACUGGAGAGGAGACUGGAAUUUACGGUGUAGCGGUGAAAUGCGUAGAUAUCGUAAGGAAGACCAGUGGCGAAGGCGGGUCUCUGGACAGUUCCUGACGCUGAGGCACGAAGGUCAGGGGAGCAAACGGG